rnacentral:rRNA from 1 species
AGUGAACGCUGGCGGUAGGCCUAACACAUGCAAGUCGAACGGCAGCACAGUAAGAGCUUGCUCUUACGGGUGGCGAGUGGCGGACGGGUGAGGAAUACAUCGGAAUCUACUUUUUCGUGGGGGAUAACGUAGGGAAACUUACGCUAAUACCGCAUACGACCUACGGGUGAAAGCAGGGGAUCUUCGGACCUUGCGCGAUUGAAUGGGCCGAUGUCGGAUUAGCUAGUUGGCAGGGUAAAGGCCCACCAAGGCGACGAUCCGUAGCUGGUCUGAGAGGAUGAUCAGCCACACUGGAACUGAGACACGGUCCAGACUCCUACGGGAGGCAGCAGUGGGGAAUAUUGGACAAUGGGCGCAAGCCUGAUCCAGCCAUACCGCGUGGGUGAAGAAGGCCUUCGGGUUGUAAAGCCCUUUUGUUGGGAAAGAAAAGCAGCAGGUUAAUACCCCGCUGUUCUGACGGUACCCAAAGAAUAAGCACCGGCUAACUUCGUG